GAUGAAGGAACGUAGCGAAAUGCGAUAAGUAAUGUGAAUUGCAGAAUUCAGUGAAUCAUCGAAUCUUUGAACGCACAUUGCGCCCAUUAGCAUUCUAGUGGGCAUGCCUGUUCGAGCGUCAUUUCAACCCUUAAGCCCUGUUGCUUAGCGUUGGGAGCCUACAGUACUGUAGCUCCCCAAAGUUAGUGGCGGAGUCGGUUUCACACUCUAGACGUAGUAAAUUUUUCUCGUCUGUAGUUGAGCCGGUCCCCUGCCGUAAAACAUCCAAUUUAUCAAGGUUGACCUCGGAUCAGGUAGGAAUACCCGCUGAACUUAAGCAUAUCAAUAAGCGGAGGA
rnacentral:misc_RNA from 1 species